rnacentral:rRNA from 1 species
GACGAACGCUGGCGGCGUGCUUAACACAUGCAAGUCGAACGGUGAAGCGCCUUCCUUUUUGGUGGGUGUGGAUGAGUGGCGAACGGGUGAGUAACACGUGAGUAACCUGCCCCCUUCUUCUGGAUAACCGCAUGAAAGUGUGGCUAAUACGGGAUAUUCUGGGUCUGUCGCAUGAUGGGUCUGGGAAAGAUAUUGUUUCGGUGGGGGCUGGGCUCGCGGCCUAUCAGCUUGUUGGUGGGGUGAUGGCCUACCAAGGCGGUGACGGGUAGCCGGCCUGAGAGGGUGGACGGUCACACUGGGACUGAGACACGGCCCAGACUCAUACGGGAGGCAGCAGUGGGGAAUAUUGCACAAUGGGCGCAAGCCUGAUGCAGCGACGCCGCGUGAGGGAUGGAGGCCUUCGGGUUGUGAGCCUCUUUCGCCAGUGAAGCAGGCCUGCCUCGUUUGUGGGUGGGUUGACGGUAGCUGGAUAAGAAGCGCCGGCUAACUACGUG